rnacentral:tRNA from 1 species
UAGCUCAGUGGUAGAGCACAUGCUAGCAUGCAUGAGGUCCUGGGUUCAAUCCCCAG